UUUCCGUAGGUGAACCUGCGGAAGGAUCAUUAUUGAAUGAUACACUUCUGGCUUUAUGCUGUUGUGCUGGCCCUUUGUGCAAUGUGCACACGGCUCUGGUCACUUGUUUCUUCUGUUCCACCUGUGCACUGCCUGUAGACACGCUGUGUCUAUGAUAUUUGUUAACACACAACAAUGUUAGUUGGCAUGUUAUAUAUAAUAAUAAAAUAUACAACUUUCAACAACGGAUCUCUUGGCUCUC
rnacentral:misc_RNA from 1 species